GAGGAGCUGAUCCCACAGACCCCACAGGGAAGGUGAGGGGCUGACCCCACAGAUCCCACAGGGAAGGUGAGGGGCUGAUCCCACAGACCCCACAGGGAAGGUGAGGGGCUGACCCCACAGGGAAGGUGAGGGGCUGACCCCACAGACCCCACAGGAAGGUGAGGGGCUGACCCCACAGACCCCACAGGGUCUGUGCCAGGCACCCCUGGAGCUCUGCUGGGGGCAGCAGGAGGGAGGGAGGAACAGAAACACUCAAGGCUGACUCAUGGGAUCUCAGAGCACUGCAGGAACCCUUUGCUCACACCCACAAAAGGACACCCCUCACCCCAAAAGCUGAAAGAUUUCAUUCUACAUUAUCCAUUAAUUUGGGAUUUUUUUUUCCUUGGAAAAAACUGUAAUAAACAUGUUUUCCAUGAUACCCAAUGGAAAGCAGUUUUCAAAGUGAUUCUGCAAUUUCUCUUCCCUGUUUUGUCCCUCUACAGAAGGAAUAAAAGAGUGAAUGGAUGUGGCAAGGCUGUAGGUUGAAUAUCUGAAUUUUGUCUGGAAUGGGCUGCAAUUUGCCUACAGCAGAAGAGUUUUCUAUCCAGCAGAGACAAAAGAUCUCCCAUCCUGACUGGAGGGUCUUUUCUAAAUCAAAGACACUGGAGCAUCUCUU